CAACACAUGGAAGAACUUACCCUCCAGCCAGAGCCCAACUGAUUCAGUUUGUCCAAUGAUGAUGAAGUCACUUCAACUCUGCUCAAGAGUCAAGAUGGCGCCAACCAACUGGGUGGAUUCUUGGUCUGUUCAGUUUCAGGACUUACGGAAAUUAUUCCUAGUGGUAAACAUGCUAGUUUUGAAGAUGAACAGUCCUCUCCCAGCCUCAGCAGGUAGAAUGCGAAAGGCUCUUCGGCAUCGCAAGAUUUGUGGAAAGAUUUCCCUUGAAACAAUUCAGGACACCAGAUUCUGGCAGCUUAAACGGAACCAGAUGUUUGAAUAAAGAAGUAAUUUGUGUCCAGCGGCUAAUAGGACGAGAUUGCCAUGUUUCUGGUUGCAUCCUCUGAAGGCGAAUAAACAUCCCCAUCGGCACUUGAGAAAAGAAGCGAGUGGAAUUAGAGAGGUGAGUGAAAGUCAAACAUGCACCAGCCGCCUCGUCUGCCGAAGAGAGACCAGCCUGAACAAAUGAGUUGGAAAAAGAUGGUGUGCUCUGGGAUUGGCUAGAGCAACACCAGAA